rnacentral:rRNA from 1 species
AUUGAACGCUGGCGGCAGGCCUAACACAUGCAAGUCGAACGAGUGGCGGACGGGUGAGUAAUGGCUGGGAAACUGCCCGAUGGAGGGGGAUAACUACUGGAAACGGUAGCUAAUACCGCAUAUCAUCGGAUGGGUCCAGAUGGGAUUAGCUAGUGGGUGGGGAAACGGCUAACCUAGGCGACGAUCCCUAGCUGGUCUGAGAGGAUGACGAGCCACACUGGAACUGAGACAGGCUCCAAGUUCCAACGGAGGCAGCAGUAGGGAAUAUUGCACAAUGGGCGCAAGCCUGAUGCAGCCAUGCCGCGUGUGUGAAGAAGGCAUUCGGGUUGUAAAGUACUUUCGGCGAGGAAGCGUUACUCGCAGAAGAAGCACCGGCUAACUCCGUGCCAGCAGCCGCGGUAAUAC